CCUACGGGGGGCAGCAGUGGGGAAUAUUGCACAAUGGGCGCAAACCUGAUGUAGCCAUGCCGCGUGUAUGAAGAAGGCCUUCGGGUUGUAAGGUACUUUCAGCGGGGAGGAAGGUGUUGUGGUUAAUAACCACAGCAAUUGACGUUACCCGCAGAAGAAGCACCGGCUAACUCCGUGCCAGCAGCCGCGGUAAUACGGAGGGUGCAAGCGUUAAUCGGAAUUACUGGGCGUAAAGCGCACGCAGGCGGUCUGUCAAGUCGGAUGUGAAAUCCCCGGGCUCAACCUGGGAACUGCAUUCGAAACUGGCAGGCUAGAGUCUUGUGGAGGGGGGUAGAAUUCCAGGUGUAGCGGUGAAGUGCGUAGAGAUCUGGAGGAAUACCGGUGGCGAAGGCGGCCCCCUGGACAAAGACUGACGCUCAGGUGCGAAAGCGUGGGGAGCAAACAGGAUUAGAUACCCCCGUAGUC
rnacentral:rRNA from 1 species